rnacentral:rRNA from 1 species
GUCCGCGCCGUAAACGAUGGAUACUCGGUGUUCGGAGCGUUAACCCUCUGAGUACCAAAGCACACGCAUUAAGUAUCCCGCCUGGGGAGUACGGUCGCAAGGCUAAAACUCAAAGGAAUUGACGGGGGCCCGCACAAGCGGUGGAGUAUGUGGUUUAAUUCGAAGCAACGCGCAGAACCUUACCUGGCCUUGACAUCGCGGGACGUCUACAGAGAUGUGGAUCGCUCUUCGGAGACCCGCGCACAGGUGCUGCAUGGCUGUCGU